rnacentral:rRNA from 1 species
CGAAACCGAUAGCGAACAAGUACCGUGAGGGAAAGUUGAAAAGUACUCUGAAUAGAGAGUUAAAUAGUACGUGAAACCGCUUAGGGGUUAAGCCCGAUGAACCCGAAUAUCUGAUGUGAGAAAUUCAAUAUUAUUUAAUGUGAUUCAUUUUUGAAAUUAUAUUAAAUAGUAUGCACUUUUCUCAUAGUAAGACAUUGUAAUCCAUUGAUAUUAUAUCUUUAUUUGUUUAAAGAUGAUUUAACAUACGGACAAAAUGUAUAUGAUUAUUCUAAAAAUGAUAUGUUUUACAUAUCAUAUGAAUAAAAUCGUUUUGUACCUGUUUAAAUAGUUGAUGGAUUUAUUAAUUAAAAUCAUGCUUGCAAUUUAUUUUGCGUUUCGUAUCAUUAAUUUUUAAUUGAUGAUAGCAGAAAUGGCAUGUAUUUGAUUAACAAUGCGAUAGAUUUGGGAUACUUUCAGGACCCGUCUUGA